AUGUGUGCAUCUACCAACAUGGACAUAAUCAUCAGACAAGACGUCCUCCGAAUAUCUCUCUUUUUUAUGUGGACUGCAGGUCUUACUGAUGGCAGUGAAGUCACCCAGACUGCGCUGCUAUGGGAAGACCAGGGUGCCAAUGCAACGAUGAGCUGCAGCCACAUCAAGGGUAGCAGCUACUACCAGAUGUACUGGUACAGACUGCUGCCAGGAGAAACUAUGAAACAGAUCGUGUUCACAUCCUUAGGCAUGAAUCCUGAUUUUGGAGAUUUCAGCAGGGAGAAAUUUUCAGCCACCAAGCCUGACGCUGAGAGUGGGACGUUCACAGUGAAGAACCUGCAGCCGCAAGAUAAGGGCUUGUACUUCUGUUCUGUGAGCCAACACAGUGAUGCAGAUGCUCUCAAUAGCUCAACAAAAACCACAUGUUACAGACACAUUGACGUUGACACUGAACAACAGCCCCAGUGCGCUGUCGGCACAUCUGUGCUGUAG